ACUCUCCCGAUUCCCUUUCCCAUCAGAUCUGAACGCUGGUCUUGGUGGUUGUAAAAGGAAGAAAAGUAAUACUGAAGCUGGCCUCACAUCAUUGUCAUGUGUUAUAGGUCGUGUGGGCUAGUUUCAAACAAGU